GAAGGAUGGGGGGGUUGAGGACGCCACAAGACUCUAUGGAAAGGAGCCUUGAUAAGUCAAGGUGCUUUGGAGUUGCUUCACACAAGCUCAAAAGACUUAGAACAAUAGUUUUAAGAAAACUAGAAAACUGAAUAAUUCUUAUUACUUUCAAAAAUGGUGAUUUACAAUGAAACAAAGACUAGAGCUUUAUAGGCUCGACCAAGGACUCUCUAACAGUCAUAAAAUGACAUAAGGAAAGAAAUAAAAUCGAAAUAAUAAAUUUGGAAGCAAAGGAAUUGAUGGCUCCUUGAAAACUAGCCGUUGGAGGCUUAAUGAUGAGAAUCUUGGCCAAAUGAAUGUAGAUGGUAUCCUCCUUGUAUCUGGACGGUUUGAGGGGUUAAGUGAGCUUCCUGGGAAUCUUCUUAAUGGUCUGUAAGGUGCUGAUCUCGUCCUUGCCUUGGUAGAAAAAGAGCUGUUGGAGUUUGAAUGCAAGAGACUCCAAAUAAGGCAGUUUGGUGAUAAUGGGGAUCUUCUUAUUCCUAUGUGGGCUGGUGCAUGGAAUGAAGUUGUAGAACUCUUCUGGCUCGUGUAUAAUGUCUCCUGGAUGUC
rnacentral:lncRNA from 1 species